GACGAACGCUGGCGGCGUGCUUAACACAUGCAAGUCGAACGGAGUGGCGAACGGGUGAGUAACACGUGGGUGACCUGCCCUGCACUUCGGGAUAAGCCUGGGAAACUGGGUCUAAUACCGGAUAGUGUGGGAUGGGACCGCGGCUAAUCAGCUUGUUGGGGGGGUAAUGGCGUACCAAGGCGGCGAAGGGUAGCCGGCCUGAGUGGGUGGACGGCCAGAUUGGGACUGAGACACGGACCAGACUACUUCGGGAGGCAGGAGGGGGGAAUAUUGCACACUGGGCGGAAGCCUGAUGUAGUGACGCCGCGUGGGUGAUGACGGACUUCGGGUUGUAAACUCCUUUCACCAUCGACGCGGUAGAUGGAGAAGAAGCACCGGCUAACUACGUGCCAGCCGCCGCGGUAAUUC
rnacentral:rRNA from 1 species